rnacentral:rRNA from 1 species
GACAGAGGGUGCAAACGUUGCUCGGAAUUACUGGGCGUAAAGCGCGUGUAGGCGGUUACGCGAGUCGGGUGUGAAAGCCCCGGGCUCAACCUGGGAAUUGCAUUCGAGACUGCAUGGCUAGGGUGCGGAAGAGGGAAGCGGAAUUUCCGGUGUAGCGGUGAAAUGCGUAGAUAUCGGAAGGAACACCAGUGGCGAAAGCGGCUUCCUGGUCCAGCACCGACAUUCAGGCACGAAAGCGUGGGGAGCAAACAGG